UGGGUACUUCGCCAAGUUACACCCAAGUUGCUCCGCUCCUCGUUUUUGCAUUGAGUCGAUGGUAGCCCUCGCGCCCACCAUUCCACGGGUCAGCCCUCCCUUGAGUCCGAUCUCCAUAUCAACUCCAAGUGUGCCUUCAUUUGUGUUGCUUUGGGUCGCUCCCCCACUUGAUCUCGCAAUGCAUCCACCAAUGCAUUCUCUCAAGCGAGAUCAUGCAACGACUCCUCG
rnacentral:lncRNA from 1 species